GCCAUGCGAGUCAUUGUAGCAAUACAAGGCAGACGGCUCAGUAACGCGUAGUCAAUCUACCCUGUUGACGGGGAUAACCUCGGGAAACUGAGAAUAAUACCCGAUAGAACAUUAUGCCUGGAAUGGUUUAUGUUUCAAAUGAUUUAUCGCAAUAGGAUGGGACUGCGGCCUAUCAGUUUGUUGGUGAGGUAAUGGACCACCAAGACUAUUACAGGUACGGGCUCUGAGAGGAGUGGCCCGGAGAUGGGUACUGAGACACGGACCCAGGCCCUAUGGGGCGCAGCAGGCGAGAAAACUUUGCAAUGUGCGAAAGCACGACAAGGUUAAUCCGAGUGGUUUCUGCUAAAGAAACCUUUUGUCAGUCCUAGAAACACUGAUGAAUAAGGGGUGGGCAAGUUCUGGUGUCAGCCGCCGCGGUAAAACCAGCACCUCAAGUGGUCAGGAUGAUUAUUGGGCCUAAAGCAUCCGUAGCUUGUUUUGUAAGUUUUCGGUUAAAUCCAUACGCUUAACGUAUGGGCUGCCGGGAAUACUGCAUAACUAGGAAGUGGGAGAGGUAGACGGUACUCGGUAGGAAGGGGUAAAAUCCUUUGAUCUAUUGAUGACCACCUGUGGCGAAGGCGGUCUACCAGAACACGUUCGACGGUGAGGGGUGAAAGCUGGGGGAGCAAACCGGAUUAGAUACCCGGGUAGUCCCAGCUGUAAACUAUGCAAACUCAGUGAUGCAUUGGCUUGUGGCCAAUGCAGUGCUGCAGGGAAGCCGUUAAGUUUGCCGCCUGGGAAGUACGUACGCAAGUAUGAAACUUAAAGGAAUUGGCGGGGGAGCACCACAAGGGGUGAAGCCUGCGGUUCAAUUGGAGUCA
rnacentral:rRNA from 1 species